rnacentral:rRNA from 1 species
GACAGCGGUCUAAAUUCUUUGGAACGAGGCUUCAUAGAGGGUGAAAGUCCCGUCUUGUGAAGUCCUUUCGACGAGUCGAGUUGUUUGGGAAUGCAGCUCUAAAUGGGUGGUAGAUUUCAUCUAAAGCUAAAUACCAGAGACCGAUAGCGUACAAGUAGAGUGAUCGAAAGAUGAAAAGCACUUUGAAAAGAGAGUUAAAAAGCACGUGAAAUUGUUGAAAGGGAAGCGCUUGCAACCAGACUUGGGGUGUUCAGCCGUCCUUCUGGUCACUCGGCCAACAUCGGUUUUGGCGGUCGGACAAAAACUUUAGGAAUGUAGCUCGUUGAAUGUUUAGCCUAAAAUGCGGCCUGCCGGGACUGAGGAAAGCGCUGCUCGGAUGUUGGCAUAAUGGUUGCCAGCGACCCGUCUUGAAACACGGACCAAGGAGUCGUGCCAUUUCGCGAGCAUUUGGGCGUAACCCUUGCGCGUAAUGAAAGUGAACGUAGGUCACCAUCGACCGAUUGUCUUCGCGAGGAUUUGAGUAUGAGCAAAUUUGGUCGGACCCGAAAGAUGGUGAACUAUUCCUGACUAGGCCGAAGUCAGAGAAACUCUGUGGAGGGUCGCAGCGGUUCUGACGUGCAAAUCGAUCGUCAAAGCAGGCAAUAGGGGCGAAAGACUAAUCGAACCUUCUAGUAGCUGGUUCCUGUCGAAGUUUCCCUCAGGAUAGCAGCAACGCAGUCUCAUGAGGUAGAGC